GUCGAGUGCGAAAUUUCAAUUACAAUUAUAUAAAUGUUACCUGGCGUUCGCUGCGCCUGUCUUAUACGGUGUAUUUUUAGCGAUAUCGCAUAUAAAUAAUCCAUCGCGAGAAUGCGUUAUUUUCGCGGCAACACCGGCAUCGAUCGUGUCGAAAAUGCGCAGGGGAUUCUGGAAAUUCGAUGAGCUGAACCUCAAAGCCUUGUACAUAGAUCUGGAGGAGGACCCAGAGGAGGAUAAGCUCUGCAAGGAGUACAGCAGCUGGGAUCAGAUUCCCGACAUCCUGCUGGAGGAGAUCUUCUCAUACCUGACCAUUCGAGAGCGUUACUAUGCGUCCCUGGUGUGCAGAGCGUGGUAUCGCGCCUUCAAGCUGCAGAAUGUAUGGUCUACGUUCACCCUGGAGGAUACCACUCUCACGCGAGGGAAGUUCAACUAUUACAGCGGCUGGCAGUAUGUCCUGGAUCAUAUAAGAACGUCCACGUGUCUCAACAAAGUCGGCAAGAACUUUCGCUCGCUCAUAUUCGAGCCUAUGUUGAACUUCUACAACCUCUACGAGUUUAUGAACAUGAUAUCGUGGUACACUGAGCAGCAGGGCUUGGACAACACGUCCGUGGCGGGCGUGGGCACCUAUAUUCGUAGGCUGAAGUUCACCUUUCCUUGUAACAUGGCGAAUAGGAACGAUCCUGAUCGAAUCAGACUCUUUGGCACAGGUGGAAAGCUGCUGGAAGCGCUCAAGAGGCUUAUGAGAAACUUGCAGAAUCUCAGGUGCCUGGAGCUGAUAGAUCUGAUGCUUGAGAGCAACGAAGCCGUACAUUUAAUGGAUGACAUUUGUGUAAAUUGCACUCAGACACUGUCGAAAUUGAUACUGAUAAAUACCACGCGUUACAAUUGCCCCUUGUUACACGUGGGAGUAUUUGUUAAUUUAAACGUCUUAGUUAUUAGUCCCCAGAAUUUGCACGAGGAUGUGAUAGAGUUGAUAGGCUACACAAAAUUAAAGCAUCUUCACAUCUUGCAAAAUCGAUAUAGUCCAAAAGAUACCACCAUAAGAUUGCCAAAGAGAUCGUCUUGGGUAAAGAUGAGAGCGAAUAAUCCUUAUUUAAAAGUACAUUUUGAGGUAGAGAGCCAUAAAGCCACGGAUAUACUUUUGCCUAUCGACUUACUAGAGCACAGCGCUAUACCGUGCCAUAGUAUCAUAUUGGAUAAUCCAAACACGCAAAUUUUGCCAUCCACAGUGCUUACUCACGGGGCGUUCUUCGAUUCGACGAUACGAGUGUACGCUUUUAAGGGAGUAACGAGGUAUUAUCUGCACAGGAACUUCGCUAAGAGAUUGGACGAGGCGUUAGUGCAAUUCUGCCGAAUGUGCCCGAACCUUCAUACACUGGUAGCAUUUUGUAUUUGAAUCGACACAUGUGAUAGCUUUCCUAAAAGGUGCUAACUGACGUUAACGAUGCGAGUUUAUGAUGUGCUGGCAUGUCCUCACGCAUUACGAAAGUCUUUCUUGCUAUUGCGUGAACAUGAUACGAGAUAAAAUAUCAACGGCUACGAUUCUAGAGAUCGUCUCUACCGCGAAACGCUUACGUUGCUUGUACGUUCGGCGAAACGUUGUCCUGAAGAAAUGCGACAGAGCCUGGUCGAAGAUCCUGGAUUGGUCACCCGAGUAUUAUCGAUGGGUAAAGAUAAACAGCCGUAAUUACGAGAGCAC
rnacentral:misc_RNA from 1 species